UACGUAGGGUGCGAGCGUUAAUCGGAAUUACUGGGCGUAAAGCGUGCGCAGGCGGUUUUGUAAGCCAGAUGUGAAAGCCCCGGGCUUAACCUGGGAAUGGCAUUUGGGACUGCAAGGCUUGAGUGCGGCAGAGGAGACUGGAAUCCCUGGUGUAGCAGUGAAAUGCGUAGAUAUCAGGAGGAAUACCGAUGGCGAAGGCAGGUCUCUGGGCUGACACUGACGCUCAUGCACGAAAGCGUGGGGAGCAAACAGG
rnacentral:rRNA from 1 species